rnacentral:rRNA from 1 species
AAACAUGUCUUUUUGUAUUAUAUAUAAAGUCUGACCUGCCCACUGAAUAAUUUAAAUGGCCGCAGUAUCCUAACUGUGCAAAGGUAGCAUAAUCAUUAGUCUUUUAAUUGAAGGCUGGAAUGAAUGGUUGGACGAGGUAUUAACUGUUUCAAAUAAAUUUGUUAUAGAAUUUUAUUUUUUAGUCAAAAAGCUAAAAUUUUAUUAAAAGACGAGAAGACCCUAUAAAUCUUUAUUAUUAUUUAUAUUUUAAUUAUUUAGAAUAAUUUUGUUAUUAUUUAAAUAAUAAUUUUAUUGGGGUGAUAUUAAAAUUUAAUGAACUUUUAAUUUUUAAGAACAUAAAUUAAUGAAUAUUUGAUCCGUUAUUAAUGAUUAAAAAUUUAAGUUACUUUAGGGAUAACAGCGUAAUUUUUUUGGAGAGUUCAUAUCGAUAAAAAAGAUUGCGACCUCGAUGUUGGAUUAAGAAAAAUUUUAGGUGUAGCCGCUUAAAUAUUAAGUCUGUUCG